rnacentral:rRNA from 1 species
ACGGGUGAGUAAUGCAUAGGAAUCUGCCUAUAGUGGGGGACAACGNGGGGAAACUCACGCUAAUACCGCAUACGCCCUACGGGGGAAAGCUGGGGACCUUCGGGCCUGGCGCUAAUAGAUGAGCCUAUGUUGGAUUAGCUAGUUGGUAGGGUAAUGGCCUACCAAGGCGACGAUCCAUAGCUGGUCUGAGAGGAUGAUCAGCCACACUGGGACUGAGACACGGCCCAGACUCCUACGGGAGGCAGCAGUGGGGAAUAUUGGACAAUGGGCGAAAGCCUGAUCCAGCAAUACCGCGUGUGUGAAGAAGGCCUGAGGGUUGUAAAGCACUUUCAAUAGGAAGGAAUACCUGCCGGUUAAUACCCGGUAGACUGACAUUACCUAUACAAGAAGCACCGGCUAACUCCGUGCCAGCGGCCGCGGUAAUACGGAGGGUGCAAGCGUUAAUCGGAAUUACUGGGCGUAAAGCGUGCGUAGGCGGUUUUUUAAGUCAGAUGUGAAAGCCCUGGGCUUAACCUGGGAACUGCAUUUGAUACUGGAAGACUAGAGUUGAGUAGAGGAGAGUGGAAUUUCAGGUGUAGCGGUGAAAUGCGUAGAGAUCUGAAGGAACACCAGUGGCGAAGGCGGCUCUCUGGACUCAAACUGACGCUGAGGUACGAAAGCGUGGGUAGCAAACAGGAUUAGAUACCCUGGUAGUCCACGCCGUAAACGAUGUCAACU